CCUACGGGAGACAGCAGUGGGGAAUAUUGCACAAUGGGGGAAACCCUGAUGCAGCGACGCCGCGUGAGUGAAGAAGUAUCUCGGUAUGUAAAGCUCUAUCAGCAGGGAAGAAAAUGACGGUACCUGAUUAAGAAGCCCCGGCUAACUACGUGCCAGCAGCCGCGGUAAUACGUAGGGGGCGAGCGUUAUCCGGAUUUACUGGGUGUAAAGGGAGCGUAGACGGGAGCACAAGUCUGGAGUGAAAUGCCGGGGCUUAACCCCGGAACUGCUUUGGAAACUGUGCAGCUUGAGUGCAGGUGAGGUAAGUGGAAUUCCUGGUGUAGCGGUGAAAUGCGUAGAUAUUAGGAGGAACACCAGUGGCGAAGGCGGCUUACUGGACUGUAACUGACGUUGAGGCUCGAAAGCGUGGGGAGCAAACAGGAUUAGAUACCCCUGUAGUC
rnacentral:rRNA from 1 species